AUGUAGGGUACUUGCUGCCUGGUGAUUAAAGGAUGGCUUUUAUCUCAGCCGAAAUAUCGGUAUAAACCAGUGCUUAAAUGAUAUACACAAUAUUUUGUCUGGUUAUUUCAGCCAAUUGAAGCUCAUUUAUUCAUAGCAUUACCAGGUAUGGUAUCAUAAAAUCAAUAAAACUUCCACCCCUAUUCACUAUCCAACAAUAAACUUCUUAAUCAAUGUAGAAAAUUGUGAUAUAUCGGAGAUCUGGAUGAUAGUCGGAGGAGAUGAGAGGUUAGAGUAAACUAGUAGCCACUAACAAUGGUGAUGGGUAGCCACCACUUUAGACAGGCUAGAUAGGGAAGAAGUGAGAGGGAAAUAAUUGGAGCAAGGAA
rnacentral:lncRNA from 1 species